rnacentral:tRNA from 1 species
GCCAGCGUGGUGUAGUGGUCUGAGCAUUGGGCUAGGACACCAGGAGACCAGGGUUCAAAUCCCGGCUCAGCCA